rnacentral:rRNA from 1 species
GAUGAACGCUGGCGGCGUGCCUAAUACAUGCAAGUCGAGCGGACGGAUGGGAGCUUGCUCCCGGAAGUCAGCGGCGGACGGGUGAGUAACACGUGGGCAACCUGCCUGUAAGACUGGGAUAACUUCGGGAAACCGGAGCUAAUACCGGAUAAUUUCUUCCCCCGCAUGGGGGAGGAUGGAAAGACGGUUUUGCUGUCACUUACAGAUGGGCCCGCGGCGCAUUAGCUAGUUGGUAGGGUAACGGCCUACCAAGGCGACGAUGCGUAGCCGACCUGAGAGGGUGAUCGGCCACACUGGGACUGAGACACGGCCCAGACUCCUACGGGAGGCAGCAGUAGGGAAUCUUCCGCAAUGGACGAAAGUCUGACGGAGCAACGCCGCGUGAACGAAGAAGGCUUUCGGGUCGUAAAGUUCUGUUGUUAGGGAAGAACAAGUACCAGAGUAACUGCUGGUACCUUGACGGUACCUAACCAGAAAGCCACGGCUAACUACGUGCCAGCCGCCGCCGUAACAC